UUUGACCUACGGGAGGCAGCAGUGGGGAAUAUUGCACAAUGGGGGGAACCCUGAUGCAGCGACGCCGCGUGAGCGAUGAAGUAUUUCGGUAUGUAAAGCUCUAUCAGCAGGGAAGAAAAUGACGGUACCUGACUAAGAAGCCCCGGCUAACUACGUGCCAGCAGCCGCGGUAAUACGUAGGGGGCAAGCGUUAUCCGGAUUUACUGGGUGUAAAGGGAGCGUAGACGGCUGUGCAAGCCAGAUGUGAAAGCCCGGGGCUCAACCCCGGGUCUGCAUUUGGAACUGCGAGGCUUGAGUGUCGGAGG
rnacentral:rRNA from 1 species